GGGUCUGCCUUCUCUCUCCUGAUG
rnacentral:miRNA from 1 species